UACGUAGGGCGCAAGCGUUGUCCGGAAUUAUUGGGCGUAAAGAGCUCGUAGGCGGCUUGUCACGUCGGGUGUGAAAGCUCGGGGCUUAACCCCGGGUCUGCAUUCGAUACGGGCUGGCUGGAGUGUGGUAGGGGAGAUCGGAAUUCCUGGUGUAGCGGUGAAAUGCGCAGAUAUCAGGAGGAACACCGGUGGCGAAGGCGGAUCUCUGGGCCAUUACUGACGCUGAGGAGCGAAAGCGUGGGGAGCGAACAGG
rnacentral:rRNA from 1 species